rnacentral:rRNA from 1 species
GACGAACGCUGGCGGCGUGCUUAACACAUGCAAGUCGAACGGAAAGGCCCUGCUUUUGUGGGGUGCUCGAGUGGCGAACGGGUGAGUAACACGUGAGUAACCUGCCCUUGACUUUGGGAUAACUUCAGGAAACUGGGGCUAAUACCGGAUAGGAGCUCCUGCUGCAUGGUGGGGGUUGGAAAGUUUCGGCGGUUGGGGAUGGACUCGCGGCUUAUCAGCUUGUUGGUGGGGUAGGGGCUUACCAAGGCUUUGACGGGUAGCCGGCCUGAGAGGGUGACCGGCCACGUUGGGACUGAGAUACGGCACAGACUCCUACGGGAGGCAGCAGUGGGGAAUAUUGCACAGUGGGAGGAAGCCUGAUGCAGCGACGCCGCGUGCGGGAUGACGGCCUGCGGGUUGUAAACCGCAUUCGCCUGUGACGAAGCGUGAGUGACGGUAAUGGGUGAAGAAGCACCGGCUAACUACGUG